rnacentral:rRNA from 1 species
GAUGAACGCUAGCUACAGGCUUAACACAUGCAAGUCGAGGGGCAGCAUGAUUGAAGCUUGCUUCAAUCGAUGGCGACCGGCGCACGGGUGAGUAACACGUAUCCAACCUGCCGAUAACUCGGGGAUAGCCUUUCGAAAGAAAGAUUAAUACCCGAUAGUAUAGUAUUUCCGCAUGGUUUCACUAUUAAAGAACUUCGGUUAUCGAUGGGGAUGCGUUCCAUUAGAUAGUUGGCGGGGUAACGGCCCACCAAGUCAACGAUGGAUAGGGGUUCUGAGAGGAAGGUCCCCCACAUUGGAACUGAGACACGGUCCAAACUCCUACGGGAGGCAGCAGUGAGGAAUAUUGGUCAAUGGACGAGAGUCUGAACCAGCCAAGUAGCGUGAAGGAUGACUGCCCUAUGGGUUGUAAACUUCUUUUAGACGGGAAUAAAGUGGAGUAGGCAUACUCCUUUGUAUGUACCGUAUGAAUAAGGAUCGGCUAACUCCGUG